AAGAAACUGAGGUUGAGAAAGUGCCAACAACGUGCCCAGAAUCCCAAAGGUCCAGGAAUGUAGGAUUCAGAUCUGCUGAUCCGGAAGGCAAAGCUCACAGUAGUCGGACACCAUGCUGCCUGCCUUCUGUUUUAGGGGAAAGUGCCUCCCAUUUAUCAUCUGCUCUCUUUGCCACCAUCUCUAAAAGGAUUUGUGUGACUUCUCUCAUCUCGUCCUUGCCUGAACACCGGUGGAUUUUUUUCUCUGACCAGCCAAGCUUCAAGCUGUUUCAGCCUUAGAUAAGCUUCCUCCUGAACUCUGCAUAGCUUGCUUGCUACUCUAUAUUACUCAGACCUCUGCUCAAAAGCCAACCCCUCCGAGGACCUUCUGAUUGCCUGAUCUGAAAUCGCCUCCUUGCUCAGUUUCUGUAAUUCUCCACCUGCCACUUUUAUUUUCAUGGUAAACAUCAU
ensembl:lncRNA